GCCUAUGUUAGCUUAGUUGGUAGUGCGUCUGCCUUGUAAGCGCUAGACCGCGGGUUCGAUUCCCGCCCGGGGCG
rnacentral:tRNA from 1 species